GUUGUGAGGUUAAGCGACUAAGCGUACACGGUGGAUGCCCUGGCAGUCAGAGGCGAUGAAGGACGUGCUAAUCUGCGAAAAGCGCCGGCGAGGUGAUAUGAACCUUUGACCCGGCGAUGUCCGAAUGGGGAAACCCAGUGCAAUUCGUUGCACUAUCGUUAACUGAAUACAUAGGUUAACGAGGCGAACCGGGGGAACUGAAACAUCUAAGUACCCCGAGGAAAAGAAAUCAACCGAGAUUCCCCCAGUAGCGGCGAGCGAACGGGGAGGAGCCCAGAGUCUGAAUCAGCGUGUGUGUUAGUGGAAGCGUCUGGAAAGUCGCACGAUACAGGGUGAAAGUCCCGUACACGAAAGCACACAGGCUGUGAACUCGAAGAGUAGGGCGGGACACGUGGUAUCCUGUCUGAAUAUGGGGGGACCAUCCUCCAAGGCUAAAUACUCCUGACUGACCGAUAGUGAACCAGUACCGUGAGGGAAAGGCGAAAAGAACCCCGGCGAGGGGAGUGAAAAAGAACCUGAAACCGUGUACGUACAAGCAGUGGGAGCACCCUUCGGGGUGUGACUGCGUACCUUUUGUAUAAUGGGUCAGCGACUUAUAUUCUGUAGCAAGGUUAACCGAAUAGGGGAGCCGAAGGGAAACCGAGUCUUAACUGGGCGUUAAGUUGCAGGGUAUAGACCCGAAACC
rnacentral:rRNA from 1 species